UUUGGUCGGGGAUAUAUAUUUCACACAAAUGAUCAUGAAAAAAGAUAAAACCAACGCUAAUUAUGGGGUUUGUGACACAUCAUCUCAUGGAUCAAGCGGAGAACCUGAUUUUUAUGGAGUAUUACAAGAGAUCUAUGAGCUCUGUUAUCCCGGACCGGUUCAUCUAAAAAUUGUGCUAUUUAAAUGUGAUUGGUAUGAUUCAACCGUUGGAAAAGGUAUACGAGUGAACAAAUCUGGGAUUAUUGAUGUUCAUACUGGAACGCGUCAUGAAAAAUAUUAUCCUUUUAUGUUAGCUUCACAAACAGAUCAAGUAUGUUAUGUUUUGUAUCCACGAGUAACGCAUAAGAAAGAUCAUCAUUGGAAAGCAGCUAUCGUGAUUCAACAACGGGGAAAAAUAUUGAUGAGUCAAAAUUUGGAUUCCACUGCAAUGCAACAUAGUGAUGAUAAUUCGGUUGUUUCUACUGAUCUACUACAUGUCGAAACAUUAAUCAAUCUACAUGGUCAAACUGAAAAUCUUCAAGAUGUUGAAGAAGAAGCGGGACUAAGAUCAGAUGAGGAUGAAAAUAAUGAUUAUGAGUGAACAGAUGAAGAAUCUCACUAAUUUGGUGUUAUAGCUUUAUAUUUUAUAUGAUCGACAAGGUUUUAUGGCAUUGGUUUUGGAACUAAAUUUAAACUAUUUUAAUUAUUUAAUCAUUCAUGUCUCCUCUUUUAAGUUACUCUGAUUAAAUUAAUUUUCUUUUAUAUGAUGGACAUGUUUUAUAUCACCGAAACGUCAGCUUGCAUUAUUCAUCUACUUUUUUUUCUUUCGAUUACGGAACGGUCGAUUACGGAACGGAGAAGAAAUGAAGAAGCAAUCCAAAUGUCGACCAAAACAGAGACUAAUAGAGGCAUGCGGCAGCUUCAGUCUUCUUUGAUUGAGAUUGCUCUUGUGGGUCUUCACGCUUUCAUUGGCAAGGUUGGUGAAGAUGAGUUUUGAUCCUAGAGCCAAUGAUAACAAUAUAGCUUUUGAAGGCGUAACAAUGUGAACAAUGAAGGCAUGCGUUUUGAUCCUGGAGCCAGAACUGCUUUAACUUUUGUCACUUUGACUAGUGAAGAUAAACGAACAUGUAAAUGCUGGGAUUUCACCUGCGAAGCGGGAGGGGGGGGGGAUCUUAUACUAAUCAAGGUGAUGAUCUCUCCCAUGGGAAAAGACUCGAAGAAGUUAUAUUGUGUCUGUUGCAGAUUCUGAAGGACUUGCUUUCAUCUUUGGCCAGGUCAAAACCGUUGAAUAGACUAGCAAGGUAUACUUGUUUUUUUUUUGUUUUGUCUAUCUUUUUCUUAAUGGCGUCUUAAUUUCUUAUGGCGCUUUUCAAGUUAUGAAGAUAUUUAGAUUUUUACUUUAGAGCGGCAAAACCUAAAAAUUAAGUGGAAACCGGGAAAAAUCCUUUAAAAAGUGGUAAGAAUAUUCAGAAAUAUCGUAAUAUUUAACUAGUAUAUAAAGGAAGUAAUAUUAGUUACCUCUUCUCAGGUUAAAACCUAAGAACCUAAACUACAUCUUAGUCUGAAUCAAAGCCGUCAAGAUGCGUCCACCAAUGAUGUUAGGCGGUCGCUUGUUUGGAAGAUCAUCUCUUCAAUCUGUUGGUCUCCAAAGGGAAUGCCCAACCACGUGAACAAAGGGAAGAUUUGUACCUGUUGAGCGAGAUUCGCGAAUGCUUCAUCCAUCUAGAAAGAAUGGAGCUAAAUAGUAUUAUGAUAUAUUCUGAAUUACUCUUCUCUGAUUUACAAAGUAUAUAUAUAACAAACUCAACUAUAUCUGUACAGGUUCAAGAACAACACUGAAAUAUCAACACGUGUAAGGAAAAUCAUUGAAGGAUGUUUUAAAGGACCAUGGUACAGUUGGAGAAAAGUACCUCAGUUUUACAAGGAUGCUUGGUAUUCAACGUUUAAGACUAAGUAUGAGUGGAAUGUGGCCAUCGAAGAUCUAGUGAAAGCUAACUUUGAUGAACUAGCUGCCACUCGCCUCAAAGGAAUGGUGAGCCUUGCAAAAUCCAAAGGAGUGAAACCUGAUUGGAUUCUUUCAGAAUAUUGGAGAGUAAUGUCAGAUUACUGGAAGACACCAAAAGCCAAAGAAAAAAGUGAGAAAGCUCGACUGGCUCGUAUGUUUAACCGUGAUGGUUUGGGUCAACACGGCCACAGAUCAGGCUCACGUUCCUAUGCUAAAGUUCAAGAUAAUCUGGUGGCAAACAACGAAGACUCUUGUGAUGAAGAAAACCCACCAGAAAUCUGAUGGAACAUAUGGUGAUGAAAAAGCACGCUUAGUUGCAGAAAAAUAUGAUGCAUAUGUGCAAGAAAGAUUGUCACUGGUUGAGCCUUCUAAUGGAGAGGUUUUGACAGAUCCUCUUACUGUCGAGGAAAGAAAUGAAAUCUAUGUGAAUGUUUCUGGAAUAUCAAAACAAGGUCGGGUAUUUGGACUUGGAUCACUUCAAUGUGGAGUUUAUAUGCCACUAGAUGGUUCUACUGUUUCACCACAAGCUGUUGAAGAUGAUGGUACUUUAACUCACCGAGUCAAAGAGCUGGAGUUAGACUUGCAAAAAAGUAAUGAAGAAAAGGUUCAGUUUCAGAAUAGGACUGAAGCAAUGGAGAAAAUAUUGAUGUCUGCUUUUGGUGAAAAUGUGUUGACUCGAACAGAUACUACUACCACAGCCGUAUGAAGUUGUUUCUCAGUUUGGUGUUUUAGCUUGGUGUUUCUAGUUUGGUAUUCAUUUGGUUUUCUUUUGGUUUUCGUUAGUUUACUAAGAAGUUUCAGUUUACUUAGUAAACGAAUUGUUGUUUUAUGCUUACGUUUAAUAUUUAAAUAAAAUCCAAGCAGUUUUAUGAGAAAUUUAUUUACAUAAUAUUAUUUGCAAAUUUGAUAUUUGAUUUCAGUUUUUAUUUAUAAUUUCUGUUGUGCCAAUAAUUUAAUAAUAAAUUAUAAAAAAAUAUGUGACAGAUUUUAAAUAAAGAAAAUUUUCGUUAUAAAAUUGUAAUCAAUUCAAACUGAGAUGUUACUAUUUUAUGGCCAUAGUUUGUGACGUUUAGUUACUUUGCUUUCGUGAUAAAAAGUGACAAAUUAAUAACAAAAUGAGUGUUACAAAAUACAACAAUUUUGUAACACAUUUAUAGUAUGUAUUUAAGACGGAUAAAUAUCUUUUCUUUAGUCAUUGGUUAUUACGUUCACUACAAGAAAAAUGGGUUUCGAUAGCAGUAGAGGAUAGCGUUUUUUGUCUUUCUGCUAUGGUUGAUAUACCCGUUAGUUUUAGAUAGCGUUUGUAUAUUUGAAAACGUUAUGAUAGAAUAGUAUAAUUGGAAACGUUAUCAUAGCUUAUGUUUGAUAGCAAAAUAAUUAAAACGCUAUGUUUGGUCUUUUAAAUCUCUUAACCCUAAACAAGUUUUUAAACUCUAAACUCUAAGUAUAAACCUUAAAACUCUUAUAUUCUCAUACUAUAACUUCAAUUCUUGAAUUUGAACUCAAAUUUGUUCUUUUUAAUUUUAAUAUAUAACUUCCAAACACACAAACCUUAAUUCCUCGAUCAAACUCUAUACCCUAAAUCCUAACAUCAAACAUAUAUAAACAUAGCUCGUAAAUUGAAUCAAGUCUAAAUCAUAAACAUAUAAACUCUAAAGCACAAAACAUAUAAUUUGUAUAAUAAUUUCAAAAUCAUAACACAUAGCUCUUAAAUUUUUGUUAAAAAAUACUUAAUAUAACUCUAAUUAUUCAAACCCUAUUAUGAAAUUUUUUUAAAUCAUAAAUCUACAAAAUCCAAAUCAAAUUUAUAUUUCAAAUGUUAAAUUAUAAUAUCUAAUCUUUAAUUUUAGGAAAAUUCUAAAAGAAUUAAAAAGACAUGUAAAUACAUUAAACUUUAAUUUAAACUCUAAAUCAUAAAUCAAACUCCAACCUUUUAAUAUACACAAACCUUAAAAAAAAAAAAUAAUGUGUACUGAAGAAAAACAAAAGGUUGUCGAAGAGAAGGUAAAAAAUAAAGAAGGCUUUUCUAUUGGCCAAUUCAUGAAUCACGUGGAUUGCAAUACAAACCCUUAGAUUAGUUUAUCUAACGAUCACAACUCAUUUGUGCUUCUUCUCUCUCUCUCUCUCUCUCUCUCUCUCAUACCUCUUUCCCUUCCCCUUCCCCUUCGAGUUUUAAUCUUCUAUUCUUCUCAACUAUUAUUUCUUGAAGUUUGGAUAUUGAGUUUGAUUUAGUAAUCCGCCUUCGACUCGGCUUCUGGUGCCUUCAACACCUCCUAUGGCGCGUUCAAUUCCAGACUCUGCUGCUGCGUUUGUCACUCAAGAUUCAUCUCGUUUACUCUAUCAAAAUUUAAUCUCAAACCUCUCUCUCGUCUCUUGUGUUUCCAUUUUUUUCAAUUAUCCAGAUUUAAAAAAAAGUAACGAGAAUGUUGGGACAGGUGGGGAGAGCUUUCUCAGAGAUGAAAACGGCAACGAAUCUCAAGCACCACCGUCUUCAAUGCCAACAUAUUGCGAUGCUCCUCUGCCUGAUGACGAAGCCCAGAGACGAGCCGUUUUUGAUUGGGUUGAGGUGAAGCUCUCCGAAUCUGCCGCUCAAGACUCUAACUCCACCGCGUCUCUGAAGAAGAGGAGAGAGGAUGAAAUAGAAGAGGAGAGAAGAUGAAGAAGACCAACACCGGAUCUGACAAAGCUUUGGUGUGGAGAUGGCAGAGGAAGCUAGUGGUGGUGGUUGAGGUGGAGCCGAGCAAGAAGAAGAAGAGGAAGAGAGGCGGAGUAGGAGAGAAAUCAAGAGACACGACGGCUUAGUAGGUUUAGGUUUAGUUGUUUGGUUUAGUUUGGUUAACUUUGAUGUACCGGUUUUACAUUUGUAACAAUUUCGAUAUAUAAAUUUUUUUAAUUUUUUUUUAAA